UACGGAGGGUGCAAGCGUUAUCCGGAAUCAUUGGGUUUAAAGGGUGCGUAGGCGGUGGCGUAAGUCAGUUGUGAAAUUCCUCGGCUUAACCGAUGGGUCUGCGAUUGAUACUGCGUUACUUGAAUCAGGUUGAGGUAGGCGGAAUGUGACAUGUAGCGGUGAAAUGCUUAGAUAUGUCAUAGAACACCGAUUGCGAAGGCAGCUUGCUGGACCUGUAUUGACGCUGAGGCACGAAAGCGUGGGGAGCGAACAGG
rnacentral:rRNA from 1 species